AUUGAACGCUGGCGGCAUGCUUUACACAUGCAAGUCGGACGGCAGCACAGAGAAGCUUGCUUCUUGGGUGGCGAGUGGCGAACGGGUGAGUAACAUAUCGGAACGUACCGAGUAAUGGGGGAUAACUAAUCGAAAGAUUAGCUAAUACCGCAUAUUCUCUGAGGAGGAAAGCAGGGGACCUUCGGGCCUUGCGUUAUUCGAGCGGCCGAUAUCUGAUUAGCUAGUUGGUGGGGUAAAGGCCUACCAAGGCAACGAUCAGUAGCGGGUCUGAGAGGAUGAUCCGCCACACUGGGACUGAGACACGGCCCAGACUCCUACGGGAGGCAGCAGUGGGGAAUUUUGGACAAUGGGCGCAAGCCUGAUCCAGCCAUGCCGCGUGUCUGAAGAAGGCCUUCGGGUUGUAAAGGACUUUUGUCAGGGAAGAAAAGGUUGUUGCUAAUAUCGACA
rnacentral:rRNA from 1 species